rnacentral:rRNA from 1 species
CCUACGGGCGGCAGCAGUGGGGAAUAUUGCACAAUGGGCGCAAGCCUGAUGCAGCCAUGCCGCGUGUGUGAAGAAGGCCUUCGGGUUGUAAAGCACUUUCAGCGGGGAGGAAGGCGGUGAGGUUAAUAACCUCAUCGAUUGACGUUACCCGCAGAAGAAGCACCGGCUAACUCCGUGCCAGCAGCCGCGGUAAUACGGAGGGUGCAAGCGUUAAUCGGAAUUACUGGGCGUAAAGCGCACGCAGGCGGUCUGUCAAGUCGGAUGUGAAAUCCCCGGGCUCAACCUGGGAACUGCAUUCGAAACUGGCAAGCUAGAGUCUUGUAGAGGGGGGUAGAAUUCCAGGUGUAGCGGUGAAAUGCGUAGAGAUCUGGAGGAAUACCGGUGGCGAAGGCGGCCCCCUGGACAAAGACUGACGCUCAGGUGCGAAAGCGUGGGGAGCAAACAGGAUUAGAUACCCCUGUAGUC